GAACGCUGGCGGCGUGCCUAAUACAUGCAAGUAGAACGCUGAAGGAGGAGCUUGCUUCUCUGGAUGAGUUGCGAACGGGUGAGUAACGCGUAGGUAACCUGCCUGGUAGCGGGGGAUAACUAUUGGAAACGAUAGCUAAUACCGCAUAAGAGUAGAUGUUGCAUGACAUUUGCUUAAAAGGUGCAAUUGCAUCACUACCAGAUGGACCUGCGUUGUAUUAGCUAGUUGGUGGGGUAACGGCUCACCAAGGCGACGAUACAUAGCCGACCUGAGAGGGUGAUCGGCCACACUGGGACUGAGACACGGCCCAGACUCCUACGGGAGGCAGCAGUAGGGAAUCUUCGGCAAUGGACGGAAGUCUGACCGAGCAACGCCGCGUGAGUGAAGAAGGUUUUCGGAUCGUAAAGCUCUGUUGUAAGAGAAGAACGAGUGUGAGAGUGGAAAGUUCACACUGUGACGGUAUCUUACCAGAAAGGGACGGCUAACUACGUGCCAGCAGCCGCGGUAAUACGUAGGUCCCGAGCGUUGUCCGGAUUUAUUGGGCGUAAAGCGAGCGCAGGCGGUUUGAUAAGUCUGAAGUUAAAGGCUGUGGCUCAACCAUAGUUCGCUUUGGAAACUCUCAAACUUGAGUGCAGAAGGGGAGAGUGGAAUUCCAUGUGUAGCGGUGAAAUGCGUAGAUAUAUGGAGGAACACCGGUGGCGAAAGCGGCCCUCUGGUCUGUAACUGACGCUGAGGCUCGAAAGCGUGGGGAGCGAACAGGAUUAGAUACCCUGGUAGUCCACGCCGUAAACGAUGAGUGCUAGGUGUUGGAUCCUUUCCGGGAUUCAGUGCCG
rnacentral:rRNA from 1 species